GCUCUGCCGAGGUGCGUUUAUUGCUGGUUGAAAACUUUUCCCAAUUGCCCGCGAUGGCCCCUGAAACAUGGGUGUCAUACGCAAUUUUUGAACGCCCCUAGGGG
rfam:Haemonchus contortus, ISE/inbred ISE, WGS project CAVP01000000 data, contig: Hcontortus_48213